rnacentral:lncRNA from 1 species
GUCUGCUUGGUUUUGGUUAUCUUAGCUGUAAUAAAUAGACCUGGGACCCCCGAAGGCACACCCCACACACUUAUGCUGUGUGACCUAAGGUCACAAGUAAUGGCUGCAAGCUAAUUGAUUGAGAAAGGCUUGUCUGGAGGGGCCUCUUUGCGUCCUCCCUUUACAUUCCUAAGUUCUGUGAAAGAGGCACUAGCGGCUCAGACUGGCAAGGAAGGAAAAAAAGAGAGGAAGUUUCUCUGCGUUCUGAUUACAUUUGAGUUCCCUGUAGUGAGCUUAACUUCUCUCCACCCACUUCUUACCAAGAACUCUCUCACUUGAAGGUGAACAACUUAAAGCCUGAGCUCAGAGAGUUACCCGAAAAGUGAUUUGAGUAUUUAUUGAACUGAAAGAACAAAUUACCUACUUCAGGCGGUGGGAAGCGUAUGGAAAUUAUAUUAGAACUUCAGCAAAGUGCACAGCCGCAUAACACAGAAGCCGAGACUCAGAUUGACAGGCAAAUAAGCCAGCUCGUGGAAGGGGCCUCUGGGUGGCAGCUCUGGGCUAUUGGGUGUUGGACAACUAUAGGCAAAACUGAAAUGGAACAGGGGCAGAAAAUAGCACACUUUAACGCUGCGCAACCGUUGCUUUCUCAUGGCCAUUGGAAAUUUUGUUGGGAUAAUCCUCCAAAUGAAUUUGAAGCAUUCUAUUCAAAUGUCUACAGAUGCACGGCUGGUGGUGUGGCUCAGACGGAGCAAGGGUUACAUCAAGGCUGUUCUCUGGACCGUGCAAACAGUCUAGACCAAUGACCUGCAGCAUCAUGCCCUUUGAAGAAGAGGCAAGUUCGGUCAUGAUGAAGAAAAAUCAAGGCGUACCCCUUUUAACAAUAGGGAGCAGCUCGAGGCUGCAAAGAGGUAAGCAGGGGUAAGAAGAAAACGGCAUCUGCUUCCAUGGUUACAGGCCAACUAUGAGAACCUUGCUUUUCAAGGGAGCCUGUUCUCAGGCUCCCUCACGGGGUAUGUCAUGCAUUAUAAGCAAAGGCAGGUUGAGCUGAAAUCCGCAUAGUUAUUUCAGAGUAAAAUGAUACGGAGCACAUGGCUGGCAGGAAAAAAAAAAAAAAAGUCACAUGACUAUUAAGAACCAGACUUGGGCUAUUUCAGAAUAGAAUUUUUUUUUCUUAAACCAGUUUAAGAAAAGACAGUAAAUUUGUAUAAAAUGAAGAGCCAUGAUAAACAUGAUUUUCAUUUCUCAGGCUUUUCUGUGAGCAGAGGUCAAGGGUCAAGAUAAUACCUCCCAUUCCAUGGCAGGAUCAUGAAGCCUAUUGUUAAUAUAACUUUAUGAUGGUUAGCAUUUAAAAAUAUUUCCAUGUUUUGCUGGACUAUAAGAUAGAAUAUAUGCUUUUGUGAAUCUCUCUGUUCUGAUUCUCUUUGAUUUCCUGCCCUGGCUCAUCCCCUGUUUAUGUUCAUUUCCACGGUUACAUCUCAUGGGGAAAGGUAGGAGAUUUGGUGAGAAACUUCCUUGCUGUGGGAGUGAAAGCUAAGAAAGUGUGGCGUUUCCUCUGCCUCUUGAAAGAUGCUUAUAGUGAAUUCAGAUCUGUGCCAAAAUUAUGAGCCUCUGACAGC